AUUGAACGCUGGCGGCAGGCCUCACACAUGCAAGUCGAACGAGUGGCGGACGGGUGAGUAAUGUCUGGGAAACUGCCUGAUGGCGGGGGAUAACUACUGGAAACGGUAGCUAAUACCGCAUACCAUCGGAUGUGCCCACAUGUGAUUAGCUAGUAGGUGGGGUAAAGGCUCACCUAGGUGACGCUCCCUAGCUGGUCUGAGAGGAUGACCAGCCACACUGGAACUGGGCCACGGUCCAGACUCCUACGGGAGGCAGCAGUGGGGAAUAUUGCACAAUGGGCGCAAGCCUGAUGCAGCCAUGCCGCGUGUAUGAAGAAGGCCUUCGGGUUUUAAAGUACUUUCAGCGGGGAGGCGUUACCCGCAGAAGAAGCACCGGCUAACUCCGUGCCAGCAGCCGCGGUAAUAC
rnacentral:rRNA from 1 species